CAUGGCGGCGACUACUGCCAACCCCGAAAUGACAUCAGAUGUACCAUCACUGGGUCCAGCCAUUGCCUCUGGAAACCCUGGACCUGGAAUUCAAGGUGGAGGAGCCAUUGUCCAGAGGGCUAUUAAGCGGCGACCAGGCAGGCUUAAAGUAUUUAUUGUUGGCUUUCCUCAGGCUGGAUUUUGAUGAUGAUGGAGAAGGGAACAGUAAAUUUUUGAGGUGUGAUGAAGAUCAGAUAUCUAACGAUAAGGAGCGGUUUGCCAGGGAAAAUCACAGUGAAAUUGAACGGCGGCGACGGAACAAGAUGACAGCCUACAUCACAGAACUGUCAGAUAUGGUACCCACCUGUAGUGCCCUGGCUCGAAAACCAGACAAGCUAACCAUCUUACGCAUGGCAGUUUCUCACAUGAAGUCCUUGCGGGGAACUGGCAACACAUCCACUGAUGGCUCCUAUAAGCCAUCUUUCCUCACUGAUCAGGAACUGAAACAUUUGAUCUUGGAGGCAGCAGAUGGCUUUCUGUUUAUUGUCUCAUGUGAGACAGGCAGGG
rnacentral:sRNA from 1 species